CGUGCGCCAAGUGUCUAGAGAGUCCACAGGUGGUUGAAACGGGGAUGAAAAUAAAAAUACAGAUAGCAGCGCCAGGCCACGUCCCCGAUGACUAAAAGAUCUCUAGGUAUAAGGCAAAGAAAAACAACGAAAUAACGCUUCGCGUUUGUCGCAAUGAGAGCACUUACAUUACUUUGCCUGUUUUGUCUUAUCAUUGAUGUCAUCGCAUUCAGGUUUCCCUUAAUAUGCCAUCUAUUCGGAAAAAAGUGUGUGCCGAAAGCCGAUUGCCCCACGGAGAAUGUGUCAUGGAUUUUGGGCUGUGGAGCUAAAAGCGUUUGUUGUAACACGGCAAAAAUGCCAUUUUGCUCUACAUUGGGAGGUACAUGCCAAGCAGUUUGUGGCGGAAAUAUACAAAGGAAUGUCACCUGCUCUGGGAUAAAGACAUGUUGUAUCUACACGAGCAAGAGUAAGCAUGCUACUGCUGGUAACCAUGUCCGUCGUCAUAGUAACAAAUUUAUCCGCAAUGGCUUUGAAUAAAGUGCUUGUCUGCCCAGAAGAAUAAAGAUUUCUGAAUACCGGAA